rfam:Tolypothrix bouteillei VB521301 scaffold_1, whole genome shotgun sequence.
GAGAGUAGGCGCAGGCGGUUGCAGGUUAGCUUGAAGAAAGCUAGCUUGAGGAAAGUCCGGGCUCCCGAAAGACCAGACUUGCUGGGUAACGCCCAGUGCGAGCGAUCGUGAGGAUAGUGCCACAGAAAAAUACCGCCUUCUGAAUGAUGAAUGAUGAAUGAUGAAAAGUUUUCAGAAUUCAGAAUUCAGAAUUCUGAAUUCAGUUGGUAAGGGUGCAAAGGUGCGGUAAGAGCGCACCAGCACGACUGAGAGGUCGUGGCUCGGUAAACCCCGGUUGGGAGCAAGGUAAGGGAACUACGGUUGGUCUUUUACCAGUUCCGUAAAAAAGAGCCGCUAGAGGCGUCUGGUAACAGGCGUCCCAGAUAGAUAACUGCCCUUAAAAUGUAAGAAUGUUUGGCAAAAUAUUUUUACAUUAGAGAACAGAACCCGGCUUAUGUCCGACUCUCUCCU